ensembl:lncRNA
CCUGGACUACAGCUCUGCUCUGUGCAACUGAUUACUCUAUUGACAAAAUCAUAAAACGGAAAAGCUGAAGAAAUACAUAUAACACCAAAAUCUUGUCCCUAGCUCCAAGAAACAGAUGCAUGACGCAAAGCUAUAUAAAUAUCAUCUCAGUCUCACAGGACCAUUUAUUCUUGUUUCUUGAGUAUAUCUUAGCUCUUGAAAGAAAAAUUACAGCUGAUAGAAUUGAUACGUGCGAAGGAAGAGAAGAAAUAGAUAAGAGCAUACUCUGCUGCACAUGGGACAAAGGAAAGAUCUGCGCUGUUUCCCUUCCAGCACUUUCACCCAGCAGUUCCAAGAGAAGCAGAGGAACUGUAACAAUAAAGACAGUCCCAGAAUUCUGUAGGCUAUCACUCUGUCUUGUUGAAUCACCUGGGAUCAUUUCCC